GGUCUAACUUGGUGGAGCCAUUGUUUUGUAGACUACACAGGCGCAGUGCAAGUGCCUGCAGGAUGGGAAACCCAAAGCGAUCUUGCUUCAUUGCUUUGUACAAAUAUAUUAUUGUGCUCAACCUCAUUCUCCUUUGUGCCCAAGUAACUGAUGGCAAGGGAAAAGAUGAUGGAGAGAAAGACAGAUCAAAUGGCAAGUUAAAAAAAACGGAGAACGAUUCUAAGAAAAAAGAUAAGUCUGAAGGAAAGGCAUGCGACACGAAGCCAAGGGUUUGUUUGAAGGGAGAGGAGGACCGAAAAAAAAAAGAUUGUUUCA